CUGCGCUGAUGAGCUUAGAUUUGACUGACUUGGUAUUGCUCGCCUCUGACCAAGAAAUGACUUCACUUAAUCUUCUCUCUGAGCAG